rnacentral:rRNA from 1 species
UACAGAGGUCUCAAGCGUUGUUCGGAUUCAUUGGGCGUAAAGGGUGCGUAGGCGGCGCGGUAAGUCGGGUGUGAAAUCUCGGAGCUUAACUCCGAAACUGCAUUGGAUACUGCCGUGCUUGAGGACUGGAGAGGAGACUGGAAUUUACGGUGUAGCGGUGAAAUGCGUAGAUAUCGUAAGGAAGACCAGUGGCGAAGGCGGGUCUCUGGACAGUUCCUGACGCUGAGGCACGAAGGCCAGGGGAGCAAACGGG